CUAGAAACAAAGCAUCUCUCCAUCGAAGACUUUAUCUCCCUCAAUUAUCUCUCUCUGGUUCACUUCUCUCCAUUAAUUCUCCAAGUUCUCUCUCACUUAUAACCCUAAAUCUCGCUUCCACAUGAUGAAACACUAGAGUAAUUUCAGCCUUAGCUUAACGAUCAUCCCGACUGUCACUUUAACAAACACCAUAGAUAUCUUAUGUUGAAGGUGAAUAUUACAAACAAGGGUUUAACCCACCUAAUGCGGGUUUAGUCCUCGGGGGAGUUGGGUGUAGUUCAGUUUUUACCCGUUAGUCGUGGGGGAGUUCGAAGGAGUCUCUCAAAAUCCUCGUUAGUCGUGGGAGAGUUUAGAAGAGUCUCUGAAACUCCCUAGAAAACCACGUUAGUCGUUAGGGAGUUUCAAAGAAACUCUUGAACUCCCUGUUAGUGGUAAAACCCAAGAAUGUUAGCGAGUUGGUUGUUUUGGGGAAUUCUGGGGAGUUUACAGUGUAAUUUUUCCUCAUUACAAAUCUCUCAAAAGAGUAGAGAUUUUGGAAGAGUCUCCCAAACUCCCUAAACUCAAAAAACCAAACUCUCAAACUCCUUACAUUCUAUUACACUCCCUCAAAAUCCCCAAGAUUCACAAUACAUUAAACUCCACCCAACUCAUCCGUGGACCAACCCCCUGUAAAAUUUCAUCAAUAAACUAGGGAGCAGAGAAAUGGGGAAGAGCCGGAAGAAGAUAUUUGAUGGUGAAGGAAUGGGUAACUGUGGAUGGCUAAUGGUACUCUAUUUUGACGUGAAUGGGCAUCAUUUGGAUUUAGGUACCCAUACAAAGCUAUCUUUGUUGUCAUUUUUGAUGGGUAUGUUCUUCUUUUUAAAAAGAAUCCCAAGGUAUGCAUCAAUAGAUUUCAUGUUUUAUCGUUAUUUUGAUAAUCUCAUUUGUUUUUAUUCGGUUGUGCUUAUGUCCUGGUGUUUGCGUGACUCAAGAAAGGUUAUAUAUAUACAACAUGGAAUACUGAACUCUUCCACGGGGGACGUCGUUCCUAGUUCAGUUGCCAUGUCAGUGGAGCUAACUUCAAUUAUCAUAUUAUGUUUUUUUUUAAGAACCUACACUUCUAAUUCAGGUUCUCAAUGCAGCUUAUCCCAAAAUCUCUCUCGAGAAGUUGAUGUUGAAACCCUGAAGACUAUGGUGAUGAAAUCCAAUUGUUUGCAAGAAAUUGACCUUACAGAUUGUGAAGCUCUGAUGACUUCUAUUUGUGAAGUUUUCAGUGGUGAGGGUGGUUUCCCGGUACUCAAGUCACCGGUCCUCAAUAACUGAAAGAGUCUAACCGCAGUAAAAUUCAGCCGUACGUCCCUUGUUGGUUACUGAGGCAUGACCUCUAACUCAAAUGCCCUUAAACAAGUCCAUUUACAUGGUUGUGAUCAUCUUGAACGAGCAUCAUUUUUCCAUGACCUCUGACGGUGCUGCUGAUUUAAGUGAUGUCGUGUUUUAUCUGAUGCAUCCAUUCGCUUGCCCCGUAUGAUAGCGUUGGAUUCUUCUUUUUGUGGGUGUUUUCGGAGAAAUAAGCUUUUGCGUCGAAAUUGGCUCGAAAAGUGGAAUUUGCACACCCGGAGGAUAAUUACUAAAUGGACCCCCUAAUUUGGAUACAGGGAACUUCAAUUUAUAAGGGGCACCUACUGUUAAUUACACCCCAGAGCAUCCUAGUGCUAAAGACACCCCGGUUCGGUUAGGGGGACACCAUCUUCCCCAUUUGAAAAAUCGAAUUUGGCGGGAAGAUUUUAUACUCGUCCGUGUCGCGUCUGCAUACUGCAUGAAUUUGCUGGAUCGAGUUUGGUGAGUUUUUGUCGGAUUUUUCUCGCUGGAAAGGAUUGGUUUGGGCUUGUUAAAUCCAAACAGGAUUGGUAAUUGGAUUGGGUUCGAAAAAAGGAGAAAAUUUCUACAGAAUCUCAACAAAACAGGGGACAAUAUAUAUCGGGCUUAUGAGAAAAGAAUAAAGGUGCAUACCGAUCGGUUUGAGUUUGUUGCGACAAGGCAGGGAUGAGUGACGUAUUGGAAUCAAAAAGAAGGUAUGAAAUCUGAGUGACGUAUUGGAAUCAAAAAGAAGGUAUGAAAUCUUCUGUAUAUUUUAGUUUGAUAAAACAGGGAAGGUGAGCUAUUAAGGGUUUGUGUUGAUUCCAAAUAUGGAAGUUACAUGUGGAGAUAAGGCUAGGAUAUCUUCGUGAGAUUUGUUUCUAUCCUAGGAAAGUUUGACAACUUACAGACGCGUAGAGAAGAGAAGAAAUAGCCAAGUCCCGUGACUUUUGG